AUUGAACGCUGGCGGCAUGCCUUACACAUGCAAGUCGAACGGCAGCAUGAUCUCGCUUGCUAGAUUGAUGGCGAGUGGCGAACGUGUGAGUAAUACAUCGGAACGUGCCCUGUAGUGGGGGAUAACUAGUCGAAAGAUUAGCUAAUACCGCAUACGACCUGAGGGUGAAAGUGGGGGACCGCAAGGCCUCAUGCUAUAGGAGCGGCCGAUGUCUGAUUAGCUAGUUGGUGAGGUAAAGGCUCACCAAGGCGACGAUCAGUAGCUGGUCUGAGAGGACGAUCAGCAACACUGGGACUGAGACACGGCCCAGACUCCUACGGGAGGCAGCAGUGGGGAAUUUUGGACAAUGGGCGAAAGCCUGAUCCAGCAAUGCCGCGUGUGUGAAGAAGGCCUUCGGGUUGUAAAGCACUUUUGUCCGGAAAGAAAUGGCUCUGGUUAAUACCUGGGGUAGAUGACGGUACCGGAAGAAUAAGGACCGGCUAACUACGUG
rnacentral:rRNA from 1 species